AUUGAACGCUGGCGGCAGGCCUAACACAUGCAAGUCGAGCGAGCGGCGGACGGGUGAGUAAUUUCUGGGAAACUGCCUGAUGGAGGGGGAUAACUACUGGAAACGGUAGCUAAUACCGCAUACCAUCCGAUUUGCCCAGAUGGGAUUAGCUAGUGGGUGGGGUAAUGGCUUACCUAGGCGACGCUCCCUAGCUGGUCUGAGAGGAUGAACAGCCAAACGGGAACUGAGACACGGUCCAGACUCCUACGGUAGGCAGCAGUGGGGAAUAUUGCACAAUGGGCGCAAGCCUGAUGCAGCCAUGCCGCGUGUGUGAAGAAGGCCUUCGGGUUGUAAAGCACUUUCAGCGGGGAGGCGUUACCCGCAGAAGAAGCACCGGCUAACUCCGUGCCAGCCGCCGCGGUAAUUC
rnacentral:rRNA from 1 species